UACGUAGGGUGCAAGCGUUGUCCGGAAUUAUUGGGCGUAAAGAGCUCGUAGGCGGUUCGUCGCGUCGGCUGUGAAAACCCGGAGCUCAACUCCGGGCCUGCAGUCGAUACGGGCGGACUUGAGUGUUGCAGGGGAGACUGGAAUUCCUGGUGUAGCGGUGAAAUGCGCAGAUAUCUGGAGGAACACCGGUGGCGAAGGCGAAGCAUCCUGGACCGGUAGUUCGACUGCUGAGGCGCGGAAAGCCAGGGGGAAGCAAAGCGGGG
rnacentral:rRNA from 1 species